UAACCUUCCCCUCGCGAACCCCUCCGAACCACUAUGCCAAUCACACUCAAAUGUAAAUGAUGACUUGAGUGUUUAAUUAAAAUCAUGAAUAAUAUUGUAAUUCUGUGAGUGUUUAAUGAACAAACACUGAACAUUUUGUUUUGAGGGAUUCAAAAGAGAGGUGUUGGGAGGAGUUCAAUAGAGUUCACGAAUCCUACCCAAUACCCCAUGUUUUUAUUGCCAAUCGAGGAUUUGGGUUCAACUAAGAGAAUUAGGAUUCACUCGUUCAUAUGAUUCUUCAUGGAAUUUAGCAAAUAACCCUCUUAAACUCAAAAUCCCAUUAACUUUUUUUUCAUAUAGGUUUCCGGUUUAACUCGGAGAAUUAGGACUGCAAUUGGUCUAUUCUCGUAGAACAUCAAAUAUUACAACUUGUUGCAUUGCAGGAGUCUUUCUUUAGUUUCUCAGUCCGCGAAACUGCCCAAAACAAACACCAAAGAGUUAAGAGUGUGUUCUUUCUUUCCUUCCUCCGUAGGUUGUGACUCUUUCUCUUGAUUGGAGCGAAUGGAUUUGUUGAUGAGAGAAUGGACGGUGAUAAGGGAGAGCGUGGAUGAGAAAUCAAUGUCUCAAGGUAAGUCUGGAGCUGAUGAUGAGUUUCUGGAUGAUACUCAGGAAGGAGGAGGAGGAGAUUGUGUUGCUGAUAUCAAGAAUACAAUGUCUGAAGCUGUGAAGAAGUGCCUGGAAGAAAACAAAGGAGACCAUAGCAAAUGUAAGUCUAAGGUGCAAGCAUUUUGGUACUCUUCGUUUUCUAGUCCGAGAAAACCGUUUAAUUCCUAUAAAGCUCAAGACAGGCUCUUUGGUUAAUGCCUGAACUCUGAAGGAACAAUAGAGCCCAUAAAAUAUGCUUGAUUUGUCCGAAGUUGUAGAUAUAAUAAUUGCAAAGGUUGAUUUGGUUAAUGCUUAGUCAUUGUGGAAAGAAUAUAUGCCUUUUGAUCCUUGAUGAAGUUGAAGGUUGUAACUUUCAUGAUUUACUGAAUGAUAUUUUACAGGUUAAUGAUCUCAUAUAGCUUUCAUUUCAUUUAUAUAUGGUUUUCAUUUGUUUGGAUGCAAUAUAAUACAAUUGGUAUUAAUUUUCUCCAUUUUCUGGUAUUUUUGGUGGAUGAUGCGAACGUGCAUGUCUUUCUUAAAAUUCUUGAUCGAUUACAAACUUUAGUAACUUACAAGAACUAACAAGCUUUCUGAGUUUGCAUGAAACUAAUUGGUUUAGUUACAGAUGGAACAAGAAAAUUCUCUUCCUUGGUUCAUCCAUCUACAAAAAUUUGCAGCGUCAUGGUUGAAGAAGAAGAUGUCCAGGAUUGAGGAAAUCCACUUCUGAUGUCUUUUAACUUAUCUGCUCUUCUAUUACUGAUCUUGGUUUCUCAUUGAUCUGUCUACAUCUAGAACGUCUUCGAUCCACGCAACAAUGUUGAAUGCUAGGCCUUCCAAGACUCUCGAAUAACUCUCCAAGAUAGCUUGCCCAACAUCCUGCAAAAAAGUGUCCAAGGAUGUCUGUGAGAGUUCAGGAUACCUCUGCUUCAAGCAAAAUAACAAGCUUUCUGCUCUUAAAGCUAGAACAUGAUUUUUGUCGUAACUAUCGAUGUCAGACAUUAGAUCCUUCACCAUAUCCCAUGA